AGAGUCCUAUAAAGCUGAAUGUGAAACAUAGGGCCAGCACUACUGUAAUAGUUGAAUUUAAACAGAAGAAUUCAAGUCUUAUACAAGGCUUGUCUGCUAGGUUCCACUGAUGAAAGGUAAGAAAAUUGCUGGCCCUUCUUAACCAGUAGCUGUUGUAUUGUGAUGAAAAUUACUUACACACGUCUUGCCAUAUGAAGCUUGGGACACUUCCAAAGUCAUUGUUCAAGAGUGCGCAGGUGCGUGCUGAGGCUUUGAAGUCACCACAAAUAACAACGUCAACCUGAAAAUAAUCCCUUGAAGCAGUAUCAGCUCAAACAGGCUGUGCUCUGUCUUGUGUCUCAUAUUGCGUUCUGAAAACAAACUAGUGCUGCAUGCAGAUGCUGUUGUACUGGUAUCACUGAAAUUAAAAUGAACAGAUGAGGCUGAGA